rnacentral:rRNA from 1 species
AUUGAACGCUCGCGGAUGCUUUACACAUGCAAGUCGAACGGCAGCGCGGACUUUGGUCUGGCGGCGAGUGGCGAACGGGUGAGUAAUGUAACGGAACGUGCCCAGUAGCGGGGGGUAAAUAAGCGAAAGCGUAGCUAAUACCGCAUACGCCCUAAGGGGGAAAGCAAGGGAUCGUAAGAACUUGCACUAUUGGGGCGGCCGAUAUCGGAUUAGCUAGUUGGUGAGGUAACGGCUCACCAAGGCGACGAUCCGUAGCUGGUUUGAGAGGACGACCAGCCACACUGGGACUGAGACACGGCCCAGACUCCUACGGGAGGCAGCAGUGGGGAAUUUUGGACAAUGGGGGCAACCCUGAUCCAGCCAUCCCGCGUGUGCGAUGAAGGCCUUCGGGUUGUAAAGCACUUUUGGCAGGAAAGAAACGUCGCGGGCUAAUACCCCGUGGAACUGACGGUACCUGCAGAAUAAGCACCGGCUAACUACGUG